GCCACCUAUCAGGGAGGGGCUGCCCCUUCUUAAGCAUCGAUUGGCUGCGGUAUGUUAUGUGUCAUGUCCGAUGUUCCGCUUGGUGCGUGUUGAUAAUAGCAACGGGUAAGUGUUUGUUGUGUGUUUACGCUAGCAGCUCGUACUUUCUGUGCUUGGAUUUAAAACACCUCGGUUGUUGCUUUUAGCGUGUCUCUUGCCCUGUGUGUGUGGUGCCCUGGUUGCGCUGUUUAAGUGGAUAUUACGACUGCUCACCCUCAGUUGCCGGCGGCUGAUAAGGCUGUGCUGAACCCAUGCCUGUAGCAGGUUAUGUUUAUCAUACCAUUGGUUGGUAAGUGUUUGUUAUUAAAACAUUUAAACAUUAUUGUAUGUCGUCCAUCGCGGUUUGAUAACAUUAUGCUCGUUUUUAGGAUUCUCCCUUUUUGUUCUCUGUGUCACUUUGUUGUGAUUCCGAGUUUGUGAUCUGGCGUUCGUAUUGUCGUAAAAGCAUCACGGUCUUCUCCACGCAACACAACGAGUACCGUAAACUGUCUGGUUCAGCUGUGUCUUGCCCCCUUUCUUACUAAAUUAGAGCUAUGGCGUCUUCUUGACGCGUAGGGGGACGACUAGUAGCCUCUCUAUUGGGUUUUUGUUUUGUUUUGCUGUAACGCAUUGCGUUUCCUUUUUGUUUACCCUCUCUAGUUUUGUUUAUUUUGAUUUUGUUAUAUUGUUUUUGAUAGGAUUCAAUGGACUAGUUAUUUACUCCUUUUUAUUCUUUAAAGUGUUUUGGUAUUAUACCGUUGUUGUUUACUCUCUGCUCCAGUGAACUGGGUCAUACGUGACCGGUUAAUGGUUUACUUAUUGUACAACCAUUGCAAUUCUGUUAUGACUUGUGUUUGGUCUUGUGAAUUUGUUUUGAUUACGUAAGAUGUCGUUAGUUUAAUUUCAUUUCAUUUGAUAUUUCCUUUUUUUUUCUUUCAGCUAAGGCUGACUGGCAAUAUUUUGUAGUAUUAUUUAAUCCAGUAUUAAUCCAGUUUUCCAUCUGUUGCAGGAGCUGGGGUCCCAACGGGUGGAUGGAACUUUCCGGUGGUGGUUUUCCUUUUGUCAUUGUGUGCUGUUUAACACGAAGUGUGUGAUUUAUUUCAUUUGAGUGCACAGUGGUGUGUGUGUGCGUGCGUGUGUGUCUAUGUGGACCCAAGUCGAGAUUAAGAACCCCUCUAUCCUGUUGGGAACCUCAGCCCUGCUUAAUUUAUUUUUCUUUAACUUUCAGUUUUGUGUGUUUGCAGUGUGGUUGCCGUGAAUUGAAGUAGAGUGAUAACUUAUAUGAUUAACUGCUUAUUUUAAUGAGAUUAAGUAAUAAAACUAUUUUUGUAUUGUA